rnacentral:rRNA from 1 species
GCAGCAGUGGGGAAUAUUGGACAAUGGGCGGAAGCCUGAUCCAGCAACGCCGCGUGAGGGAUGACGGCCUUCGGGUUGUAAACCUCUUUCAGCACAGACGAAGCGCAAGUGACGGUAUGUGCAGAAGAAGGACCGGCCAACUACGUGCCAGCAGCCGCGGUAAUACGUAGGGUCCGAGCGUUGUCCGGAAUUAUUGGGCGUAAAGGGCUCGUAGGCGGUCUGUCGCGUCGGGAGUGAAAACCAGGUGCUUAACACCUGGCCUGCUUUCGAUACGGGCAGACUAGAGGUACUCAGGGGAGAAUGGAAUUCCUGGUGUAGCGGUGAAAUGCGCAGAUAUCAGGAGGAACACCGGUGGCGAAGGCGGUUCUCUGGGAGUAUCCUGACGCUGAGGAGCGAAAGUGUGGGGAGCGAACAGGAUUAGAUACCCUGGUAGUCCACACCGUAAACGUUGGGCGCUAGGUGUGGGACACAUUCCACGUGUUCCGUGCCGCAGC